AGUUUAAAGUGAGUACAUCGUUUUUAUUACUUUAAGUGCAUUAAAUUUGUGUAUAUUCCAUAUUUGUAUUGUCCAUAGAGAAAUCAUCACCUAACUGAAACCUACAAAAAUUUUCUCAGUUUUUCUUCUAUAAGUUUUAACUUUGAGCUCUUGUAUUUAGAUCUAUGAUGAGUUGAGGCCUUAUAUAUGCUUUGGGGAGUCAAAGUUAACACCACAUUUUGAAGAUGUGUCUUUCCCCUUGGAUUUCAUUGGCACAUUUGCUGAAAAUGUCCCAAGCACCUCAUGGGGUAUGGCUGUGGUUCUGGACUCAUGUAUUCACAAUUGUUUUGAAUAUUCACAUAAAUUUAUAAUCCACUGUCAAAUUUUAAUUCAGGUGGUGUUUAAUUAAUAGAACAAUUUGAGGAAAACUGACAUCUCAAAAAUAGUUUUCUUGCCUAUUUUGGCCCUAUUUCUGCCAUACACAUUUUGGAAAACUUUUUCCAGUACUAAGAAUAAAUAUUGGAAGCUUUAUUGAAAUUGUAUCAAAUUUACAGAAACAUUUAAAGAAAACAUAUUAAUAAUGGUCUUCCUAAUCAUUGAAAUUUUUACUUUAUUUUUAAUUUUUUUGGGUACAUACUAGGUGUAUACAUCUAUGGGGUACAUGAUAUAUUGAUACAGGUUUGCAAUGUCUAAUAAUCACAUCAGGGUAAAUGGGAUAUCCAUAACCUCAAGCAUUUAUCCUUUGUGUUACAAACAAUUCAAUUAUACCUUAAAAAUGUACAAUUAUUAUUGACUGUAGUAACCUUGUUGUGCUAUCAAAUACUAGGUCUUAGUCAUUCUACCUUUUUGUGCCCAUUAACAUUCCCCAAUUCCCCCUCAUCAUGCCCCCACUACCUUUCCCAGCCUCUGGUAAACAUUCUUCUACUCUAUCUCUAGAAGUUCAGUUGUUUUCAUCUUUAGCUCCAAUAAAUAAGUCAGAACAUGUGAUGUCUGUCUUGCUGUGCCUGGCUUAUUUCACUUAAUGAUCUGUAGUUCCAUCUAUAAUGUUGCAAAUGACAGGAUCUCAUUCUUUUUUAUGGCUGAAUAGUACUCCGUUGUGUAUACGUACCAUAUUUUAUUUAUCCAUUCAUCUGCUGAUGGACACUUGGAUUGCUUCCAAAUCUUGGCUAUUGCGAGUAGUGCUACAGUAAACAUGGUGCAGAUUUAUCUUCAAUAUACUGAUUUCCUUUCUUUGGGGUAUAUACCUACCAGUGGAAUUGCUGGAUUGUAUGGUAACUCUAUUUUUAGUUUUUGAGGUACCUACAAACUGUUCUCCAUAGUGGUUGUACUAAUAUACACUUCCACAGUGCACGAGGGUUCCCUUUUCUCCACAUCCUCUUCAGCAUUUGUUGUUACCUGUCUUUUGGACAGAAGAUAUUUUAACUGGGGUGAGAUGAUAUCUCAUUGUAGUUUUGAUUUGCAUUUCUCUAAUGGAUCAAUGAUGUUGAGUACAUUUUCAUAUGCCUGUUUGCCAUUUGUAUGUCUUCUUUCGAGAAAUGCCUAUUCAGAUUUUUGUCCAGUUUUCAGAUUAAUUUUUUUUCUAUAGAAUUGUUAUAGUUCCUGAUAUAGUUAUAGUUACAGCUCCUGAUAUAGCUAGUGAUAUAGUUUGGAUAUUUGUCCCUGCCCAAAUCUCAUUUUGAGAUGUAAUCCUCAGCAUUAAAGGUGGGUCUUGGUGGAAGGUAUUUUCGUCAAGGGGGAGGAUCCCUCAUUAAUUGAUGCUGUCCUUUCAUCAACGCCCAUAUUUCUGCCAUAUGCAUUUUGGAAAAGUUUUUCCAGUGUUAAGAAUAAAUAUUGGGAGUUUUAUUGAAAUAUUAAAUUUAUAGAAACUGCUAUUAUUUUAAUAAUGAGUCUUCAAACAUUGAAAUUAUUUUUAAAUUUUUGUGGGUACAAAUAGGUGUAUAUGUUUAUGGGGGUACAUGAGAUAUUUUGAUACAGUCAUGAAAUGUAUAUGAACACAUCAGGGUAAAUGGGGUAUCCCUGACCUCAAGCAACCCUCACAAGACCUGAGUACUCACAAGAUCUGGUUAAGUGUGUGGCACCUCCCUCCCCCUCUCUUUGCCCUUGCUCCUGCCAUGUGAGAUACUUAUUCCCCUUUUGCCUUCCACAAUGGUUGGAAGCUUCCUGACGCCUCCCUACAAGCUGAUCAGAUGUUAGCACCAUGCUUCCUGUACAGCCUGCAAAACUGUGAGCCAAUUAAACCUCUUCUUUAUAAAUUACCCAGUCUCACGUAUUUCUUUAUAGUACUUCAAGAAUGGCCUAAUACAGAUGGAUAGUUUGCAAAUAUUCUUUCCCAUUCUAUGGGUUGUCUCUUCACUUUGUUGUUUCCUUUGCAAUACAGAUUUUUAACUUGAUGUGAUCCCACUUGUCCAUUUUUGCUUUGGUUGCCUGUUUGUCAGGUAUUACACAAAAAAUCUUUGCCCACUCCAAUGUCCUGGAGAGAUUCCCCAAUGUUUUAUUUUAGCUGUUUCAUAGUUUGAGGUCUUAGAUUUAACUUUUUAAUUAAUUUUGAUUUUUGUAUAUGUUAAGAGAUAGGGGUCUAGUUUCAUUCUUCUGCAUACGGAUAUCCAGCUUUCCCAGCACCAGUUAUUAAAGACACUAUCUUUACCCCAAUGUAUGUUCUUCAUAACUUUGUCAAAAGUGAGUUCACUGUAGAUGUAUGAAUUUGUUUCUGGGUUGUCUAUUCUGUUCCUAUGUGUCUGUUUUUAUGCCAGUAUCAUGCUGUUUUGGUUACUGUAGCUCUGUAGAAUAAUUUGAAGUCAGGUAAUAUGAUCCCUCCAGUUUGAUUCCUUUUGCUCAGGAUAACUCUGACUAUUCUAGGUCUUUUGUGGUUUCCAUAUAAAUUUUAGGAUUGUGUUUUCUAUUUCUUUGAAGAAUGUUAAAGUUUUCUGGAUAUUGCACAGUUUGUCCAUUAACUUGCUGAGCAACAUCUUUUUUUUUUCUUUUUUCCUGAGACAGGGUCUCACUCUGUCUUCCAGGCUGGAGUGCAGUGGCAUGAUCACAGCUCGAUGCAGUCUCAAUCUCCCAGGCUCAAGUGAUCCUCCCACCUCUCUGCCUCCUGAGUAUCUCGGAUGACAGGUGCAUGCCACCACGCCUGGCUAAUUUUUAUAUUUUUUGUAGAGACAGUUUUGCCAUGUUGCCUGGGCUGGUCUCAAACUCCUGGGCUCAAGCAACACACCCACCUCGACCUCCUAACAUGCUAGAAUUACAAACAUGAGCCACUGAGCCCAGCCAGAGUAUUUUCUUUCUGUUAGGUACAUGAAAUGAUUCAGGCUCAUCUUCUUUUUCUCCCAAUCUCCGACUAGGAAUCAUCCCUGGUCCCCUUUUUUGUGGAUAGUAUUUAGGAAAUAAUAACUUGGCAGUUGGUGUGUUUACUGUUACUGAGCUGUGACUGCAUUUAUGUCCUCUCGGUAGAAUGAAUCACAAAAUAUAUGUAUAUGGGCACACCCAACAAUUUCUCUAUUGUUCCUAUGUAUUUAAAAGAUAUGAGUUCUAUUCUAAUCCCACACUCCAGGUUUUCUAGCUCUCCUCAUUCCUAUUUCUACAAAUACCUUCUCUAACAGGGAGAAACCUUGCCAUCAUCAUUCUCAACAUAUUUGCUCAGUGGUACCAAUCUCUUAACAAUGCUGCCCAUCUCCUCCCCCUGUCCCUUCCACACCUCACCCUCAGCCCUCUUGGUGCCAGCAGACACAUAGCCACAACUCCUCUCAUCCCACAAUGCAGGUCUAACUCCUCCACUCUGGGAAGGGAAGGCCACAUUGAUUUUUUAAAAAAUAAUAAAUCAUCUUUUGAUUGCCCUAAUAAACAUCUCUUGGUGAUGAUACAGUUUAUGGAUAUGACUAGACUUUUUUUUUCAAUUUUAGGAUUUUGCAUCUAAAUCUAUGAGACUUUGGUCUAUAGCUUUAUGUUUUUUGUUUGUUUGUUUGUUUUAUUGGUUUUGGUAUCAAGGUUGCACUGGCCUGAAAAACUGAAUUGGAAAAGUUCCAACUUUUUUCUUCUAGAAGAGUUUAUAAAAGCCUGGUAUGCUUUAUUUAUUAAAUAUUUGGAAUAACUUCAGUGGAGCCAUCUGUCCUAGAGUUUUCUUUCUAAGCAAGUUUUUGAAUAUUCCACUCAGAUAUUGUUUGCAGUUGUGACAAGGUACAAUGAAUCUCUGGUAUGACCUUGUUUCCAGGGCUUUUACUGAUGGCAUGUUCAUGAAAGGACCAACCCACUGGCACUUCCUAAGGUCUAAUCAUUUCUCCUCCAUAUUGCAAAAUGCAAAACAAAACAAAAAUCCUACUUGUUUUCUUCUCAAAUUAGCUUUUCAGCCUCCUGCCCUAUGCAGCAUGAGAUAUCUGGAAAUUUCUUGAGAAAUUAUGUGUUUGAAGCCCCUAAUGUAUCCAUUUUUUUUUAAUUGCAGUCUUGAUUGUUCUCCUGGUUUCUGGUCCCCCCCAUGCCUUCCCCUGACCCCCAGGGUAUGGCCCUCUGCCUGAACCAAGUUCAGUAUUCAGGUUCUUCCCUAUAGCCAGAAGUGGAAAGGGUCCCCAGAGCAAAGAGCUGCAUUCUGUGCAUGUGCUUUCUGGGAUUUACCACUCUCUAGAAUUUUGCUCCUUUAGUUCUCUUUGCUUCUAUAGCAAUAAGUUGCAUUUAAAUAUUUUUUGUAAUUUUAUAGUUGUCCUCAAUCAGUCCAUUCUGCUGCCGACUACUAUACCUUACCCAAUAGCAAAAUCUAUUUUUUUUUUAAAGUGUCUGUCACUCAGGCUGGAGUGCAGUGGCAUGAUCUCAGCUCAAUGAAACCUCCAACUCCCAGGUUCAAGUGAUCCUCCCACCUCAGCCUCUCUAGUAGCCGGGACUACAGAUGUGCGCAAUCAUGCCUGGCUAAUUUUUGUAUUUUUAGUAGAGACAGGGUUUCAUCAUGUUGGCCAGGCUGGUCUGGAACUCCUGACCUCAGGUCUUGCCCACCUCAACCUCCCAAAGUACUGGGAUUACAGGUGCAAGCCACCAUGCUCAGCCUAUUUGUGCUUUUUCAAAGCCCCAUAUUUAAGUUAUAUCUCUAUAUACAUUUUAAAAAGUUAUAUCACCUAUGAAAAAUGUAUUUCACUUUGGAGAGAAAUAGAGUUGGGUACAAUAAGUCACUCACAGCAGAAUGUCCUGGCUUAUGUGUUGGACAUCUGCUAGGGCAGAAACCACCAGAAAUCUGGACCCACUCUCUUCUACUAAUCCUCUUAAGCUGCAUACAAGGCAAGUUGACUUGCCCCCUUGAUCCACCAUUCUGAGACGGGUCACCCAAAAUUAGUCUGCCCCAGGAUUAUUCAAAAAUCCUGCUGGUGGGCUCCUGUCCUAUGGCCCCAGAUUAAGGGUCUCUUUCUUCCUGGACAUACAAAAGCACUCUUGCUUAUGGUUCCCUUUGCUAAAAACUCUUCCCUUAUUUUACAUAUGGCUAAGCAAUACAUCUUUGACCUAGUUAUAGUCAUUGGCUCCAGCGUGGCAUCUUUUCAAGUGUCAGAAAACAGCAGUCUUGACAAUGAACUGAACUGGAUAUAAGCAAAGUAAAAUGCUAUUUCUCAAUAAAAACCUUUUUUUGCGUGGUGGCUCACACCUGUAAUCCCAGCACUUUAGGAGGCCGAGGCGGGCAGAUCACGACGUCAGGAGAUCGAGACCAUGGUGAAACCCUGUCUCCACUAAAAAUACAAAAAAUUAGUCAGGUGUGGUGGCAGGCGCCUGUAGUCCCAGCUACUUGGGAGGCUGAGGAAGGAGAAUGGUAUGAACCCAGGAGGCAGAGCUUGCAGUGAGCCGAGAUCAUGCCACUGCAUUCCAGCCUGGGUGGCAGAGCGAGACUCUGUCUCAAAAAAAAAAAAAAAAAAAAAAAAGAAAACCUUUUCUCUACAUGUUCUUAAAUUGCUAGAUAUCCUGCAAUUCAACACCUCUGGUCUAUAUUAAAUUUAGAUUUUAACCUAAAGUGUCCACACAUUGGAUACAGUUAAAAAUACUUUCUCACUAUCUGAUGUUCACUAAGAAGGUACUUCUUAUUACAUAUACUCUAUAAAAUAUAACCUCAUAGUAAAUGCUUUCCUAUAGUUUGUGCAUUUUCUGUGGCCUCUUGACUUCACACAGAAUGAUUUUCCACAUUCAUUACAUCCAUAGGGUUUCUGUCUUAUAUGAGUUCUGUGGUGAACAAUUAGGGCCCACUUCUGGUGAAAGGUUUUCCCACAUUCAUUACACCCAAAAAGUUUCUCCCGUGUGUCUUCUCAGAUAUUCUGUGAAACUGUAGUAGUAGCAAAAAAAUGCAUCCCUUCUCAACUUACGGAUGUUGAGCCAGGUUUCACCCUGUGUGAACUCUCUGAUGUUUACUGAGGUGUGGCAUUGAGCAAAAUGUUUCCUAUAUUCAUUCACCAAUAAGUGUUUUUCACUUUUAGUUCUUAAACAUAAUCUAUGGCCCAAAUCCCAGAAUAAUGUUUUCCUGCAUUCCAUAUCUUCAUAUUGUUUUUUCCCUCUUUAAGUUCUCUUCUCUACUGUGAGAACUGACUUCAGGGCAAAGGUGUUCUCAUUAUCAUUAUAUUAACAGAUUUCUCUCACCCUUUAUGUUCUCUGCUCUACAAAGUUCUGACUUCACCCAGAGUAAUUUCCCUCACUUACUACAUUUAUAGGGUUUCACCUCAAGUGUGUUCUGUGAUGUACAGUUAGUUUUGACUUAAUAAUAAUUUUCCACAAACAUUACAUCCAUAGGGUUUCUGUCUUAUAUGAGUUCUCUGGUGAACAAUUAGGGCCA
rnacentral:lncRNA from 10 species